GGGGGUGUUUGCACGGCUGGUGCCGGCCCUGGUCUUCAAAACCUGUGGGGGGUGUGAACAACGCCCCCAGUCGGUUCGAUUCCGAUACACUCCC
rfam:Fimbriiglobus ruber strain SP5 contig11, whole genome shotgun sequence.